AGUGAAUAGAUACCCCGGUAGUCCACGCCGUAAACGAUGGAUACUAGAUGUCGGAAGUUCUUACCCUUUCGGCGUCGUAGCUAAACGCGUUAAAGUAUCCCGCCUGGGGAGUACGAUCGCAAGAUUAAAACUCAAAGAAAUUGACGGGGGCCCGCACAAGCGGUGGAGUAUGUGGUUUAAUUCGACGCAACGCGAAAAACCUUACCUAGGCUUGACAUACCACGCUACCCUAUGAAAGUAGGGGUUCCCUUCGGGGACGUGGAUACAGGUGCUGCAUGGCUGUCGUCAGCUCGUGUCGUGAGAUGUUGGGUUAAGUCCCGCAACGAGCGCAACCCUCUGCCAUUAGUUGCCAGCAUUAAGUUGGGCACUCUAAUGGGACCGCUUGCCGAAUAAGGCAGAGGAAGGUGGGGAUGACGUCAAGUCCGCAUGGCCCUUACGCCUAGGGCUACACACGUACUACAAUGGCCGGUACAAAGCGUCGCUAGACUGCAAAGUGGAGCUAAUCGCACAAAGCCGGUCUCAGUUCGGAUAGGAGUCUGCAAUUCGACU
rnacentral:rRNA from 1 species